AUUGUAAAAUUACGAGAUCAUAGUUUCAAGAAGUGUGAUCUAAACCAACCAGCUGCAACCAUGUCCUACGCAUACUUGUUCAAAUACAUUAUCAUUGGCGAUACUGGCGUCGGAAAAUCAUGUCUGCUACUGCAGUUCACGGACAAGCGCUUUCAGCCGGUGCACGAUCUGACAAUUGGCGUGGAGUUUGGAGCACGCAUGAUCACGAUUGAUGGCAAACAGAUCAAGCUGCAAAUCUGGGACACAGCAGGCCAAGAGGCUUUCAGAUCAAUAACCCGCUCGUAUUAUCGUGGUGCUGCUGGGGCCUUGCUGGUGUACGACAUCACAAGGCGGGAGACCUUCAACCAUCUGACCACAUGGCUGGAGGACGCGCGUCAGCACUCGAACUCCAACAUGGUGAUCAUGCUCAUUGGCAACAAGAGCGAUCUGGACUCGAGGCGUGAGGUGAAAAAGGAGGAGGGUGAGGCAUUUGCCCGUGAGCAUGGACUGGUCUUCAUGGAGACAUCAGCGCGCACAGCGGCCAACGUGGAGGAGGCCUUCAUCAACACCGCCAAAGAGAUUUACGAGAAGAUACAGGAGGGAGUGUUCGAUAUAAACAAUGAGGCAAACGGCAUUAAAAUCGGCCAACAGCAUUCACCCACAAACCCCUCGCUGCCUGGGUCUGGCGGAGCUGCCGGCGCUGCAAACAGUGGCUGCUGCUAGGAGUAAGCGGCAGAUGCCUGCCAGCAACAUUGGGUAUAGACGUAGCCCGCUUCUGUAAAAGCUACUCUAGUGACUAACUAAUAGAAGCGAGCCAUCCAGUCGCUGCCCUGCAACGCCGCGCCACGCCCCAUUUUGCAAUGGGUGUCUGCCCCUGCCCUGCCCCAUCUACAUACAUACCUACAUACAUACAUAAUUAUGUGCAUAUUUUUAUAUUUCCUUCUCAACGCAUUUGCUUUGUUCCGACAUUUUAUUGUGCAAUUGGUUCCACUUUACACCCGUAACACUUUAUUCAUAAGCUAAAACGAAAAGAAAAACGAACCGAGCGACAACAGAAAAUGCUAAAACUUGUGCGCUGAAAGGGAGUUAUUUAAACGAUAUAGAUACAUCAAAAUGGGAUGAACGUGAACGUAAACGUAAACGCUGCGAUUCAAUGAUCAAUUUAGUAUUCUACGAGGUUUAAAUAUACAUACAUAUAUUAAAUUAAAGACAAACACAAGAUUUAAACGAACUAUACAACCGUAAACGUAAAUCAAAUUAUUUAUAAUAUUUGUAUUUGCCCAAAAGCCCUUCCCAUGCGGAAUAAUGAAUAUAUACAUACAUAAUAAAUAUUUAAAAACCACAUCAAA